rnacentral:rRNA from 1 species
GUGGGGAAUCUUGCACAAUGGGGGAAACCCUGAUGCAGCGACGCCGCGUGAGCGAUGAAGCCCUUCGGGGUGUAAAGCUCUUUCGGCAGGGACGAUUAUGACGGUACCUGCGGAAGAAGCUGCGGCUAACUACGUGCCAGCAGCCGCGGUAAUACGUAGGCAGCAAGCGUUGUUCGGAAUUACUGGGCGUAAAGAGUGCGUAGGCGGUUGGCUAAGUUUGGUGUGAAAUCUCCCGGCUCAACUGGGAGGGUGCGCCGAAAACUGGCUGGCUAGAGUGUGGGAGAGGAAAGUGGAAUUCCUGGUGUAGCGGUGAAAUGCGUAGAUAUCAGGAGGAACACCUGCGGUGUAGACGGCUUUCUGGACCACGACUGACGCUGAGGCACGAAAGCGUGGGUAGCAAACAGGAUUAGAAACCCUAGUAGUCC